GAAACUUCUAGAACUCUUAGUUCUCUGGAAGAAAUGCUGGAAGCCCUUAAGCAAAGGGACGAGAAUGAGAAGCCUAAAGAUUGCCCACCAGCAUUACCAUUUAGGCCAAAGUUAGCUUCGAGAACUAGGCCUCCUUCUCCGAAGAGAUCGAUGCCUGGUACCCCGGAAAAGCGUGACAUCGAAUUGGAAAAUGGCAAAAGAGAAGAAGAGUUUAAAGGGAAACUAAUUAAUGUGUUUGGAGCCAAAAUGUGUAA
rnacentral:misc_RNA from 1 species